AAUGCAGGUUAGCAUCAGAGUCCGGGUGUGAGUUCCACCUUUCCAACUCGUUGUCUUAGGGUUUUCAGCAAAAACCCUACUUCCCUUGUGAGGAAAAAGACGGUGAAAAGAGUCUCCGCCGCUGUCGGGCUCCUUCCCUUGCCCCCGGUUUCGUGCUUGGAGUACCAGACCAUCCACACAACCAUGUCCAUCCAUACGCCCAUAAGGUAGACCCCCCUCCCUUUCCCUCUCUCUCUCUCGAACACCACCGGACCGACAUCGAUCAUUCCCUUCCAAUUAAUAAAACACCAUGGCACUGCUGCAGCAGCAGCUGCUGCUCAGAAAACUCAAACCCAAUCUCUUCCCCUCCCUCCACCUGUUCACAACCUCAUCAUCCCACGCCCUUCCUCCACCGGAGGCCAGCCACUUCAUGGUCCGAUACCUAAUCUCGUCCGUGGGCCUCUCCCCGGAGGAAGCCCUCAAGGCAUCCCGCAUCCUCCCCGCCAACCUCCAGUCCCCCAAGAACCCUGAUUCCGUCAUCCGCUUCCUCAAGGAGACCGGCCUCACCCCCGCCCACAUCAAGACCCUCAUCUCCUGGCACCCCCGCCUCCUGUGCGCCAACGUCCGGGAUACCCUCGACCCCCCGCGCCCGCGAGCUCGAGUCCGACGGCUUCGCCGGCCAGGUGCUCGUCCAGUUGAUCCGCUCCAACCCCUACGCCCUCUCCCUCGACGCCGUCCUCCCCCGCCUCCGCUUCUGGCGCACCUUCUUUAGCGGCGACGAGCGCAACCUCCUCCGCGCCUUGAAGCGCAACCGCACCCUGAUCAACAACGACAUCGACCGGAAGAUCACCCCCACCAUCACCCUUCUCCGAAGCUACGGGCUGUCGGACCGGGACAUCGCCACCGUGAUGACGAGAGUGAACGGUUUCAUCCUCCGGAAACCGGAUUCGAUGAAGGCGCUGAUCGAGCAGACGGAGGAAUUGGGGUUCCCCCGGGGGUCGGGGAUGUUCGUGCAGGGGCUGUCGGUGGUGGCGAUGCUCAAAAGAGAGACUCUGGAGGAGAAGAUGGAGCUCUUCAAGGGGUUCGGGUGGUCGGAGGCGGAUGUGCUGUCGGCGAUCAAGAAGAACCCUAACAUCCUCACGCUGUCGGGGCAGAAUGUGCGGCUGAAGAUGAAGUUUCUGGAGGGGCAGGCGGGCUGCCAGCAGUCGUACAUCAAACUCCGGCCGUCGCUGCUGGCCUACAGCUUGGAGAAGCGCUUGCUGCCGCGGCACUCCGUCCUCCAGACCCUCAAGUCCAAGAAGCUGAUAAAAAAGGAUCUCGAUUUGAACCCGGUCAUGACAAUGUCGAACAAGCGGUUUGUGGACAAGUUUAUUCUCCUCUACAUGGAACAAGUGCCGAAUCUUCUUCAAACUUACAUGGAUGCUUGUGCGGACAGGAUUCCCGUUUCAUAAAUUAUGGAGAAUGAGCAAGGAUGCUAGAGAAAUAAAGGCAAUUCGAUAUGCUGCUGAUGAACCCGUGAUUAUCAGAGGUCAUCUGGGGGCUCUGCUUGAAGAUGACAGUUAACCACUGACGCUGCCGGGAGAGAUCGGUUGUUCAUUGCUAGAACCUGAUGAUGCUGAUGAUUAUUCCUGGAUCGCUCGUCAACUUGUGCUUUUGAUGGGAUAGUUUGAGCUGAUACUGAAAGGAUCAUAGAUGUAUGCCAUGCUUGACACCUGACAAAUAAGACAAGUAGCUUCAUGAAACAGUGAAUCCUAAGUCUGAGCUCAUGGUAUUGUAUGAUCUGCAACUUGUCUCUGCAUCUUGUGCAACACCAAAGCUUAUGCCAAAUUGCUAUGUUCUUUCCUACCUAAUGCAACAUCUUUUGCCUCUCUCUCAUGCUUGUAGAUCCUUGUCUUCAAGGCUUGUCCAUAUAAAAUGCAUUUUAGUUGGUAUAUUCGUACCGUAAACAUGACAAUUUGAUCGA